UUGGGCUGCAUCUGUGGCAAAUGGAGUUUCCCAAGCCAAGCGUCCAAUCGGAGCUGUAGCUGCCAGUCAAUGCCAUAGCCACAGCAAUGCCAGAUCUGAGCCAAGUCUGUGACAUACACUACAGCUCAUUGCAAUGCUCGAUCCUUAACCCACUGAGCAAGGCCAGAUAUUGGACCUGCAACCUCAUGGUUCCUAGUUGGAUUCCUUAACAACUGAGCCCAUGACAGGAACUCCUGCUCCAUUACUUUUAACUCUAAGCUGAUUCUUUCUGGCGAAUCAGGGAAGAGCACCAGCCCAUUGGGUGGUGGUGGAAUUGGUACAAGGAUAAUAUAUUUGACCAUAGGCAGCCUCUGUGCUAUGAGAUCAUCCCUAGGUUCACAGUUCUGAACAAGUCACGGGGGAAGGACCUCAUUUUCCCUGUUCACAUGGUGGGAUACAUCUGUUCUGGGACAACACAAAGAAUUUUUAGCCAAUGGGGGACACAGCUGGGGUCUGUGGAUCAGAUGACACAUGAAACAAUGGGGGACAGUAUGCUGACCUGGGUGAGGCUCCCCAACCCACAUGCCACACAAUCUCACCCAGCUGUUGUCCCUGAUCUCAGGUGGGUUGGAUGGGAAACCUCCAGGAUCCAGGCCAAAGAAGAGGCUUGGAGGAACCAUUGGGACCUGGAGAGUUGCCUGAUCUCAGACCUCCUCCUCCACAUUUGCCCCAUGCUACUCCUCAUCCUUACAUUCACCCAUCUCUACCACCUAUGUCUAUCUAAUUUCUGCCUCCCACGACCACUUUUCCACAUUCCUCCAACAUCCACACUCAUCCACUAUAGUCUCAAUGCUGCAUUCUGCCCAUUACCCAGGGACCGUGUCUCCCCCAUCCACCUCCGCAAUGGUCCUCCAUGUUUUUCUUCCCCACCCAUUGCUCCUCAACAAGCCAUUCACCCUUCCACAUCCUACAUCCAUUGCUCCACAUGAUCCAGCUCCCUUGACUGUCCAUCUCCUCCUCUUCCUGCAUCCUCUCACCUCACUACUCCUCUCCACCUUCCUUUUCUGGGCUAGGGGUCUGAGCUUGGACCUCGGGCUCCUCACAGGUAUUCAGGCACCUCUGGCAACAUUCUGCACACUAUGGAGCGCUGAGAGUGCUGCAUCCUCAGUGGUUGGUGCUGUAGCUCCUUGUCACAUUGGCUACAGACCAUAAUGGUCCAGGAUCCCACCAGUGACUUCUGUCCCCUAGUGUCAGUAUGUGGUGGGAGCAAGUCACACUUACCUUUGUGGCUUUUUGCAGCUGAAGCUGUGCCACUUUGAUGGAAAUGCACCCAGGGAUGGGGCAGGAGAGGUGGGGAAAUGGAUGAGCAUCAGAGCAGUUCAGAGACCACAGGGCCUCCAGCUGCUUGGGGACAAGAAAAAGUGAGUGCCAGGCAGCAGACAGAAUUGGGUUACUGUUAUUCCAACAACAAUAGGGCUAAGGGCAGAGGGCAGAAUUCACACUGAGCCCAUAACUAAAGACUCAUUAUCUGCAGGGGCAUGGCUGAACCCAGCAGGACAAGAUGGCAGGGGAUGGUGACAGGAAGAUGCAACCUGUCAGGGGAUGGACCAGGGAACAUGGAAACACAGGAAGGCUUGGUCCCCCAACCCUAACCUUCUUCACUAUUCCUCCCUCCAUCCCUCUUAGGAGUUCAGGGAAGAUAAUGAUGUGGACUCUAAGCUCCUGAGUUUGACAUGGAUCAGGCCAGAGAUGGACCACCCAGGUAAGAGUAGCUCGCAGAUUUCUCUAGGUCUGAGCAUCAAACCAGUGGCUUACAUGGGUACACUUUUAAGUGACACCACCUGAAUCCCAGUAGGUCAGGCUGUUGGCUGGCCUGGACCUGAAACUCUACUUCAUCCCCUUUUCCAUCUCACCUUCAUUCUCUUCCAUCCACCUCCCACUGCUCCAUCUCCUCGUGCUUGGUCCUCCAACUCUCCAUCCUCCAUAUACAUUUCCUCCAUCAUCCCCCUCCCCAUGAGUCAAAAUUUUAUUUUCUUCUUCACAGUCCUGUCUUUAAUGCUCCUCAUCACUCACCUGAUUUCUCCAUACUCCUGCAUCCACCUUUCCUCUUACACCCAUAUCUUGUCUGACUUUACCUUCCUUCUUCCCCAUUCUCCUCCUCCUUUGUGUGCAUCCUCUCCCCUCCUCCUCCUACAACCUCUCCCCUCCCUCAUACUCCCCAUAUUCCACUUAUGGUCAAGGAUUCUGAGCUCUGACCUCAGGCCCCUGAUAGGGACUGAGGCACCUCUGUCAGCAGCCCACAUUUCACAGAGGCCUAAGGGGGCUAUGCACAUUGUGGUUUGUGCUGGAUAUCCUUGUCACCUCAACCUUAGACCAGAGUGGUCCAGGUACCCACCAGUAGCCUCUAUCCUUGAGGUGUUGGUAGGCGGUGAAGGCACAGCUCUUGCUCAACCUUCUGAUACUAGCUGUUGGAUGUGGGCCUCUCUUCUCAAGACGGUAACAAGGUAAUCAGGUGGGUGUGGGGAUGAGGUGGGUCAGAGCAGGGAAGGCAGAUGAGUGAGUGUCAGAGCCGGUUAGUGACCACUAGGGCUUCCAACUGCCUGGGCACAUGGAGCAGAGUAGGUUCAUAGCAGCAGAUACAACUUUGGGGGCUCUGCCAUUCCAACCACUAUGGUGCCCAUCACACUGCUCAUGUAUAGCACUGACUCCUUGGCCUGAAAAGUGACUUUCUUUUCUGGAAGGGUCUACACACAGGGGUGCAUCAGCAGGGGUGGGUGGGGACUGACUCAGCUGGAAACUUGCAACCAGCUUGUCCUCCAACCCUUCUUGCACUCCUCUUCUCCCCUGCCUGAUAUCAGUGCCAUGAGGACUUGAAUCAGGCCAGCUAUUUCAUACAACCUUGUCCUCACACAACUUCCUGAUGUCCCUGGGUGUGAGCAUCAACCUAGGGUCUCAGUAGGGUACAAGCACUGCAGGGACCCCAUCCAGAUCCCAAUAUAACUGGUUAUGGGCUGGCAUGGAACCAUGCUCCCCCUCCAUCCAUCCACUUAGGACAAAAGGUCAGAUGUCUGGACACCCUGCUUCCCCUCCAACCUCCUCCAUCUGUCCUUCAACAUCUUCCAUUCAUCCGACUCCUCCUGCUCAGUCCUUUACUCCCACUCCUCUAUCUCUCUCUCUUCCUACUCUUGCUCUUCAUGUUCUUCCUGAUCCAUCUUACUUGAAUCAUCCACCUCACCUCCAUUCACGUUUCUUCCUCUUCCUCUUACUCCUGUCACUACUUCUCCUCCUCAUUUACCUCCUUCCUACAUCCUGCUGCAUCCACCUUUUCUCCUGAAUCCAUCUUUCCUCUUGCUAGACCUUCAUUCCUUCCCAUCUUCCUCUUUCUCCUGCAACUUCUCCCCUCCUGCACCUCCUGCAAGCUUUCCUGUCCCUCCUCCCCCCCCUCUUCCUUUUCUGGCCAAGAGUCUGAGCUCUAACCUUGGGCUUCUCACAGGGAGUCGGGAACCUCUGGCAGCAGCCCAUGGUCCAUGGAACCCAGAAGGGGCUUCAUGCUCAGGGGAUGGUGCUAGAGGUCCUUGUCACCUUGACCUCAGGCCCACAUGCUCCAGGCACCCACCACAGUCCUCUGUCCUUGACAUAUCAUUAGGGGGUGAGAGUACAGAUCAGGCCCACCUUUCUGACAAUCACUGUUGGAGGUGGGCCUGCCCUCUCAAGAGGGUAACAAGGUAAGAAGGCAGGUGUGGAGAUCAGGUAGGUUAGAGCAGGGCCGGAAGAUGAGCAAGGGCCUAAGUCAAGUAUAAUCUCUAGCAACCCAAUUUGGGACCCAAGAUUGACCCAGGGCUGGCCUGGAGCCCCUGCUUCUCCUCCACAUCCUCUUCCAUCUUUGAUUCAUCCUCUUCCAUCCACCUCUCACACCAUACAUCUCCUCCUUCUCAAUCCUCCCCCUCCUCCAGCUCCUCCUCCUCCAUCAAUUGCCUAACACUCCUUCCAUCUUUUUUCUUCUUUCUCUCACUCCUGUCUUCAUUCCUUGUCCUCCCUCACUACCUCCUCCCUCCAUCAUCCUACAUCUAACUCUGAUGUAGAACGACCUGCCUUCCUCCCAUCCUUCUCCUCUCCUGCAUCUGCUUCCCUCCCUCCUACUCCAUGCCUUCCUUUUCUGGGACAGGUGUCUGAGAUCCAACCUCAGGCUCCUGACAGGGACUCAGCCACCUCUGGCAGAAGCCCGCACUGCAGGGAGCCCUGAGGGGGCUGCAUUCCCAGUGGUUUCUGCUGGAGGUCCUUGCCACCUCCCCCAAGCCCUGAAUGGUCCAGGUACCCACCAGUGGCCUCUGUCCUUGAGGUGUUGUUAGGGGGUGAGGAUGCAGCUCCUGCUCACCUUUCUGACUCUCAUUGUUGGAUAUGGGCCUCUCCUCUCAAAAAAAGUAACAAGAUAACCAUAAGGUGUGGGAAUCAAGUGGGUCAGAGAAGGUUGGGCAGACAGAGGAGCAGGCAUUAGAGCAGGUCAGCUACCACGAGCGCCUCCAACUGCCUGGGGACAUGAAGCAGAGUGGCUCUCAGGCAGCAGGCAGAAUUGUGCAUUCACUGUCAUUCCACCCACAGUAGAGUUGAUGUCAGAGAUCAGGGUCAACGUUGAGUGCAUAACCAGGGAGGUCAUCUGCUCCAGGGACAAGGCUAUCAGGAGAAGGUCCUGGCAGGCAAUGGACUUGGGCAUAUCAACCCUCAGGAACACUUGGUCCCCUAACCCUGACCUUCCUUCACUCCUCCAUUUUAGAGGUUUCUGGGAGGAUAGUGAGGUGGACCCGACGUUUUUGCCUUUGGACUUAAAAAUCAGGCCAGAGAUUUCCAACCCAGGCCUCACCCAUCUCCCUGAGGUUCCCUGGGUCACAGCAUCAAACAAGGUGCUCACUCAGGUACAACUUUUAAGAAACACUAUUUGGAACUCAAUACAGCAGACACUGGGCUGGUCUGGACACCCUGCUUCUCUUUCACUCCCUUCUCCACCUCACCUUCAUUCUCUUCCAUUCACCUCAAUCUCCCCACCUCCUCUCCUCUGCAUCCUUCCUCCUGCCAUUCCCCUCCCACUCCCUCUUCCAACCAUAUUUCUUUUACUUCUUCACCCUCCCGUAUUUUAAUACUCCUCUUCACUCACCUCCUACAUCCUUCUUUCUCCAUCCAAUUCUGGUCCAGCCAGACCAUCCUUCCUCCCCAUCCUCCCAUCCUCCUCCUCCAGCUACUGGAUACUCUCCCCUCACUCCUCCUCCCCCUCUAUCUUUUCUGGGCCAGGGGUCUGAGCUGUCACCUCAGGCUUCUCAAAGGGACUUGGGAAUUCUGGCCCUGAGGGGUGCUGCAUGCUCAGUGGUUGGUGCUGGAAGUCCUUAUCACCUCAGCCCCAGAUCUGAGUGGCACAGGCACCCAUCAGUAGCCUCUAUCCUUGAGGUGUUGGUAGUGGGUGAGGGGGAAGUUCAAGCUCACCUUUUUGACUCUCACUGUUGGACCUGGGCCUCUCCUCUCAAAAUGGUAAAAAGGUAACCAGGCGGGUGUGGGGAUCAGGUGGGUCAGAGCAGGGAGGACAGUUGAAUGAGCGUCAGAGUAGGUCAGCGACUAUGAGGUACUCCAACUGCCUGGAGACAUGAAGCAAAUUGGGUACAGGGCAGGGGGCAGUACUCUG
ensembl:lncRNA